CUGUGCUAGGUGGGGAGUUAGCGGUGCCCUGUAUCUGCAAUCCGCUAUAGCAGAACCGAACGUCUUUCUCGGGUGCAUAUAUGGAAGGCCGCACGUUGCAAGGAGUGUUGAUAACAAGGUCUUAUGCAACGUAUUGCCGUGAACCGUGUCAGGACAGGGAUGUAGCAGCACUAAGCGGAUUUGUGCGUGUGCCAUGAGGUAGCUUUGCAGGAGCUGCCUACAACGUUUCCGCUUCGGUGUAUACACACAAAAUUGAUUGCACAG
rnacentral:SRP_RNA from 1 species